GUUUGAUCCUGGCUCAGGACGAACGCUGGCGGCGUGCUUAACACAUGCAAGUCGAACGGGGCCUUCGGGCCUAGUGGCGGACGGGUGAGUAACACGUAGGUAAUCUGCCUCUCAGUGGGGGAUACCUGGCCGAAAGGUCAGUUAAUACCGCAUACGCUCCAUCGUUGGAAUACGGUGGAGGAAAGAUUUAUCGUUGAGAGAUGAGCCUGCGUCCGAUUAGCUAGUUGGUGGUGUAAUGGACCACCAAGGCGACGAUCGGUAGCUGGUCUGAGAGGACGAUCAGCCACACUGGAACUGAGACACGGUCCAGACUCCUACGGGAGGCAGCAGUGGGGAAUUUUCCGCAAUGGGCGAAAGCCUGACGGAGCAACGCCGCGUGAAUGAAGAAGUCCUUCGGGAUGUAAAGUUCUUUCAGCAGGGACGAGUCGAAGACGGUACCUGCAGAAGAACGCAUCGGCUAACUACGUGCCAGCAGCCGCGGUAAUACGUAGGAUGCAAGCGUUGUCCGGAAUUAUUGGGCGUAAAGCGUACGUAGGCGGUUUCGUUAAGUCAGGGCGUUAAAGCACCGAGGCUCAAACCUCGGGGAGUGCCCUU
rnacentral:rRNA from 1 species